rnacentral:rRNA from 1 species
UACGGGGGGGGUAAGCGUUGUUCGGAAUUACUGGGCGUAAAGGGCUCGUAGGCGGCCAACUAAGUCAGACGUGAAAUCCCAAGGCUUAACCUUGGAACUGCGUCGGAUACUGGAUGGCUUGAAUUCGGGAGAGGGAUGCAGAAUUCCAGGUGUAGCGGUGAAAUGCGUAGAUAUCUGGAGGAACACCGGUUGCGAAGGCGACGCCCUGGACCGGCAUUGACGCUGAGGCGCGAAAGCCAGGGGAGCAAACGGG